ACCAACAACAUGUCUCCUUUUCCCAUUCCUUGGAAUGGACUGAACUAGUGUCCUGUGGUUUUAAAUGUUUCCUGCUGCUGCUGCUGCUGCUGCUUGUUCUAGGGGAACAAACACUUCGUGCUGGACUGUACUUGACAGCAGAUGAUGAUGAGCUAUGGGCAGAAACCGUUUGUUUGUGUGUGCGCGUGUGUGCUAGUGUUGUUCAGUUGUAUCAUACCUGCAGAGUCCCUGCUAAGAGAAACCGCUGCCUUGGGUUGGUGCAUCCUCGGAGCAUGCACAGAAAGCCCCUUGGCCCUCCUGCCUGGAAGAGGCCACAUGACUCCUUGGGGUCCUCUAGUCUGUUUGGCUAUCCCUGAAGCCAAAUGUGUCUGGCUGCCUCUGCACAUUCCACUUGGACUUCCCCUUCUUUCUUACCUUUAUUAGUUCAUUUAGUUCCUUCAGUUAGUUCUACGCCUUCUUAGCAUGGCACCCACAGCCUUGUGUUGGUGCUAUGUUUCAGACUUAUCAUUGGAAGGAACAGGGCGUUGCUUUCUUUUUUGGAUCCGCUCUUAUGAAGGGGAUGUGAAUUUUAAAAACUGCUGUGCAAUGACCUCAUUUUUGUAAACAUUGAGUAAGCUAUUAUUUAAAAUAGCCUAGGUUUAGAUCAUUGUUUUUCCAGAGGCAGCUAAAAUGCUCUGUAAUGUAAUAAUUCCUAUUUUCAUUUUAGCAAAUUCCCAAUAGCAGUAAAAAAAAUAUGAAUAUGACCUCAUUUGAUUUCAGUUCUGCUGUGCUCUAGAAUAUUCUCAAAUUUUUAUGGAAGGUUUGUUUUUAAUCUGUUAUAAGUGUCUUAGUUCAACUGCUGUGUGUGCAGAGAAGAAUCCAAGGGACGCAUUUGUUGUAUUUAAGUCCUGUUGAAACACAGAUGAGCCAUGAUUUCAUAUUUCAAAGGGACUCAAAUGCCAUUCACCUCUCAUGGAUGGUCGGGGAAAAUAUAUGAAUAACAGGAAGGAAAAUGGCUGAAAUGUUUUGGCAUUUCACUACUGGAAACAGUAGUGAAAUAUAUGCGUGGGCUUCUGAAAAUUGAGACUUAUAAAACCCUAAAUAUAUUUUUAGUGGUGAUGCUGUUUUAGAUUGCACGUUGUUUAAUUUCUCCUUAAGUUAAAUUAAAUUUUGGAUAUUUCUGUCUCCUCUGCACACCCCAGGAGGGAAUUUAAAGCAUACAUGUAAAAGUGACAUGGAUGGUGAUUAAACUGUAGGCUUUUCUGCUCAGCCCAUUGUUCCAUUUUGGACUUCCUAUGCUCUUCAAGGCUUGGCAGUUCAUUCAGCAUAGCUGUGGGGGAGGCGAGGAGAAGAGCCUGCAAUGGAAUCAACACAGCUAAGUGAUUGCAUCUUUAUAUAGGAAGAUAAUUAACCUGUAAUAGAGUCAGGAACUUGAAACCAUUAUAAGGAAAUUAGGUAAGUAAUUUCCUUGGUAGUUUUUGCAAGCACAAAAAGACAUUCUAAGAAUCACAAGAACUUCAGAAGACGUUGGAAGUAUGUUGAAAUAAUAAUAUUAUAUAUUUUUAUCUAGUGUUUGUUUGGGCACGAGAAUGAAUGAAUGAAUGAGUGAGUGAGGUGGUCUUGCACUCUGACCACCUUUAAUGCUUUAUCACUGGAAGGAAAUUUGUUGUGGUUUCUGGUGUAUGAUCAACCAGACGGUCACCCAUCCAGUUUGAAUGACAUAAAACUGGUCACCAGUACUUGACAAUCGUUGAGCUGUGACUGUGUGCAGAGGAGGGGACUGCCCUUGGGGCAAUGCUAUGGGCCUCCAUACUUCCAACAUAGGGAGGGAGAAUAGGGACAGCUCACACUGUGCACCAUGUUGAUCUGUUGUGUGAAAAACUCUUUGUCUCCCAAUAAUCCCUGUGCAUGCACUGAACUGCAGUUUGAGUCCUCUGUCUCCAACCCACCCAUCCCCACACCACCACCUGUCUCUUUCUCAGGUUGUUGAGACAAGAGACACAAAUAUCCUGGGAGCUUUUUAAAAGGACCCUUUAAGGGAAGGUAGAAUCGGGUGCUCACCCACCCAAAGGGUGCUCCGACUCUGCUUAUUUUCUUUUUUUAUAUCUUCUUAUUUUUUAAAAGAUUGUGUGCAUGUGCAAAGCUGCUCUAAAUCUUAAGCUGUUGCAAAAGCACUAUUCUGACCAUGUACCAAGUGGGUGUAAAAAGGAAUCUUGUAGUUUUGGCAGGGAUGCAACACACUGAGUUUGCUGCAGAGGUGAGUUUUGGAAAUCGUAGUGUUACAUUUCAAAUUUACAUUUCAAAUUGCAGUGUUAAAUUUGAACUGUCCUGUGUGUGGAAUCUGUGAAAUAUGUCCUGUUUGCACCUGGUGCUAGAAAGAGUAAGAUCACAUCCUGCAAAGAACAGCACUUGAAUUAGGAUCUGGGCCAUUGGUUGCUACCAAACUGCCUCAUGAAAGGUUUUUAUGGGGUGGGAGACUGGUGUGUUCUGCUCUCUCGACUGGCUCCUAGUGAUGUGUUCAGUAUCCGUGAGUGUACACAGUUUGCAAUCUAUAUCCCCCCCCCCCGAGCAACACAAUCUUGUUGGAGCCAUUUUUGAAGGUAUCUACCAUCUUGGAGCUAUGGUGUAUUCAUACUCUUCAAUAAAAAUGUAGGAAGACUGUGCUGUAGACACUAAGGACUUACAGUUGUUUUUAAACAGCAGAGGACCAGUUGACAGUAAUAUAUUUUUAAAAAAUAUUGAAGGUAUAUUAUUAACCUAAUUAAUAUAAUUUUGAGUAAUGGGAGGAAAUUAGUCUAUAUAUAUUGAUAAUAUAUGUAUAUCCAAAACAUCUCCUGUGAUUCAUAAUGGUUUCCCUUUCUGUGUUGCCUGCUGAUACAAUAUUCCAUGAUGUAAAUAUUAUAUGGGCUAAGCAUGGAGAAUGGAGAAUGUUAAUACAUUUGUUAAAUCAAUUUUUAAUAUUUUUGUGUUUUUGUUACUGUACCAGGUUACUUUUAUCUAAGGGAGUAUUUUAAAAAAAAAACAACACCUCAAGAAUUCUGUUUUCUCUGAGAGGCAUUUUUUGUUAUUUAUUAAGUCUGCACAUUUCUUUCAACUUAUUUAAUUCCUUGUACAAUUUCCUCUCCUUUUUGCCUGUGUGUUAUUUAAGUGACAGUUACUUGAGUUGGAAACAGCAUUAUUACAGUUUUCACAAAUUAAUUCUAGUAAUAAUAAGUUUGCCAUUUUGUCUCUAAUAAAAGAAACAGAGAAAAACA